rnacentral:piRNA from 1 species
UGAAGAGUGAAGUGUUCCCUGAAAGA